CACUCCUGCGGGAGGCAGCAGUGGGGAAUUUUGGACAAUGGGCGAAAGCCUGAUCCAGCAAUGCCGCGUGCAGGAUGAAGGCCUUCGGGUUGUAAACUGCUUUUGUACGGAACGAAAAAGCUCCUUCUAAUACAGGGGGCCCAUGACGGUACCGUAAGAAUAAGCACCGGCUAACUACGUGCCAGCAGCCGCGGUAAUACGUAGGGUGCGAGCGUUAAUCGGAAUUACUGGGCGUAAAGCGUGCGCAGGCGGUUAUGUAAGACAGAUGUGAAAUCCCCGGGCUCAACCUGGGAACUGCAUUUGUGACUGCAUGGCUAGAGUACGGUAGAGGGGGAUGGAAUUCCGCGUGUAGCAGUGAAAUGCGUAGAUAUGCGGAGGAACACCGAUGGCGAAGGCAAUCCCCUGGACCUGUACUGACGCUCAUGCACGAAAGCGUGGGGAGCAAACAGGAUUAGAAACCCUAGUAGUCCC
rnacentral:rRNA from 1 species